rnacentral:misc_RNA from 1 species
AAGACCCAUGAGAGCAUCAACAACAGGCUUGCUCUGGUGAUGAAGAGUGGAAGGUUCACUCUCGGCUACAAAACCGUGCUUCGCUCUCUCAGAAGUUCUAAAGGAAAACUCAUUAUAAUUUCAAACAAUUGCCCACCGCUUAGAAAAUCCGAGAUUGAGUAUUAUGCCAUGCUUGCAAAGGUUGGCGUCCACCAUUACAAUGGAAACAAUAUUGACUUGGGAACUGCUUGUGGCAAGUAUUU